rnacentral:rRNA from 1 species
UACGUAGGGGGCAAGCGUUGUCCGGAUUUAUUGGGCGUAAAGAGCUCGUAGGCGGUUUGUCGCGUCUGCCGUGAAAGUCCGGGGCUCAACUCCGGAUCUGCGGUGGGUACGGGCAGACUAGAGUGAUGUAGGGGAGACGUGGAAUUCCUGGUGUAGCGGUGAAAUGCGUAGAUAUCGUAAGGAAGACCAGUGGCGAAGGCGGGUCUCUGGACAGUUCCUGACGCUGAGGCACGAAGGUCAGGGGAGGCGAA